rnacentral:misc_RNA from 1 species
UUUCCGUAGGUGAACCUGCGGAAGGAUCAUCAACAAAUCCAACCAAAACCAACCCCACCCAUGUGAACCCUUUUCGAUCUCUUGCGGUUUUUUCUUUUUUUCAUGUUUAGGGGGGAUUUAAGGAGAAGGCGCAGGACGAGGUAUUCUAUAAAUAAAAAUAUUAACCCCAGACCAUUCUCGUACAUCGAGCCUACGUUAUUCCGUUUUUUUGCGUUCUUUCUACAUUUUCGAAAAAAAGAAAAAAAAUGAUGUAUUAAAAUACAAAAAAAAAAAAGACACAACUUUUAACAACGGAUCUCUUGGCUCUC